rnacentral:rRNA from 1 species
UAGGGAAUCUUCGGCAAUGGACGGAAGUCUGACCGAGCAACGCCGCGUGAGUGAAGAAGGUUUUCGGAUCGUAAAGCUCUGUUGUAAGAGAAGAACGAGUGUGAGAGUGGAAAGUUCACACUGUGACGGUAUCUUACCAGAAAGGGACGGCUAACUACGUGCCAGCAGCCGCGGUAAUACGUAGGUCCCGAGCGUUGUCCGGAUUUAUUGGGCGUAAAGCGAGCGCAGGCGGUUAGAUAAGUCUGAAGUUAAAGGCUGUGGCUUAACCAUAGUACGCUUUGGAAACUGUUUAACUUGAGUGCAAGAGGGGAGAGUGGAAUUCCAUGUGUAGCGGUGAAAUGCGUAGAUAUAUGGAGGAACACCGGUGGCGAAAGCGGCUCUCUGGCUUGUAACUGACGCUGAGGCUCGAAAGCGUGGGGAGCAAACAGGGUUAGAUACCCUGGUAGUCCACGCCGCAAACGAUGAGUGCUAGGUGUUAGACCCUUUCCGGGGUUUAGUGCCGCAGCUAACGCAUUAAGCACUCCGCCUGGGGAGUACGACCGCAAGGUU